rnacentral:rRNA from 1 species
CCCUUAGAUGUUCUAGGCUGCACGCGUGCUACACUGAUUACUUCAACAAGUGUUUUAACUGGAGAGUUUGCGUAAUCCUGAAAUGUUAUCGUGAUGGGAGUAGAGUAUUGUAUUUGUUAAUCUUUAACGAGGAAUUCCUAGUAAGUGUAGGUUUAUAAGUUGUUCUGAUUACGUCCCUGCCCUUUGUACACACCGCCCGUCGCUCCUACCGAUUGAUUGAUCCGGUGAAUUACAUAGAAUUUUGCGUUUUACAUGACGGAAGAUGAAGUGUUUUAAACCUUAUCAUUUAGAGGAAGGAGAAGUCGUAACA